rnacentral:rRNA from 1 species
UACGAAGGGGGCUAGCGUUGCUCGGAAUCACUGGGCGUAAAGGGUGCGUAGGCGGGUCUUUAAGUCAGGGGUGAAAUCCUGGAGCUCAACUCCAGAACUGCCUUUGAUACUGAAGAUCUUGAGUUCGGGAGAGGUGAGUGGAACUGCGAGUGUAGAGGUGAAAUUCGUAGAUAUUCGCAAGAACACCAGUGGCGAAGGCGGCUCACUGGCCCGGAACUGACGCUGAGGAGCGAAAGCGUGGGGAGCAAACAGG